AAUAGUCAAUCUUUCGGAUUAAUAGAUGUGUAUGGGUGUUCGCGCGCGCGCGCGCGUGUGUGUGUGUGUGUAUAUUGUUGUUCCGUAAGUGUAGAACUAUAUAUAUUAUAUAUCUGACGUAAUUUAAUAAUUAUAGAUCACCCGACGUACAAUCGGCCUUUCAACGACCUUUAAACGGCCUAGCUGAUGUACUUGGUUUAUCUGCGAUAACAAAGCGAGCUUAUGUUUUCUAUAUACCUAUUUGAAGUGGGGUGAAGAGAUAGUGGUCUCGGUAAGCUGCAGAGCUAACACGGCGCUAAGGAAUUUCAAUUCUGAAAGUGAGUUUGUCCCCAAUGCGAACGGUCUCAACUUCCCGGGCCCUGCUAUCCAAAAUACGAAUCCUUGGAGGCGGUGCUUCUGGUGCGCUCGUAAUGCUGAUCAUUUCCGGAUCCCUGAUCGGCAUCAUCCCAAAUGUUAUGUUCUUCGACGACAUGUCGUAGGUACAUUUGACUUUGUAAAUCUUGUCUGCUUUCGUCAUUACGACCGAAUGAUGUUGCAGUACAACCGUGUUCGAGUAUAUACCCGUCUGAAAACCGUCACGC
rnacentral:misc_RNA from 1 species